CUGACUCCCAUGUGUUUGACAUGGCAGUUCUGUGAUACAUGACAGACAUAACUUACUGGCAGUAAACAAAAGGAUUUCAUGUAGGUAACAAUACAGUUGACACACUUGAGUUUAAUUUAUGGUUGAUUCACAAGGAAGCAUAGUUGUGGGUUUAAAGCUGAUGAAGUCGCUCAGCUGCUGUUACUGCUCUUCGUUUUUCUUUCAGGAUCAAGGUGGGUGCUUUCAUAUAAAAUCUUGUUUUUUAUUCCUUCUCUGGCAAUUCUUUCCUGGAUCCUCUGCUUAGCAAAAUUAUACCUACAGUGGAACCUUAUAAGAAAGAAAAUGAGUAAGUUACUAGUUCUAUAUGAAUAACCUAAGGAGUGAUUAUGUAACCAAAAUGCUAAAAAGAUGACUACUAUCCCAAAACUAAAUUUAAAGGUAUUUUGUCAAAAUACAAAUACUUUUUAUAGCUACAUAAGAUAUAAAUUUCUGUCUUAGAGUAAGUAUACCUGCUGGAAUCUCUUGGGUCUGACUCCCUUUAUUUACUCAACUUCAUAUUUUAAUGGAAUUCUGCCACUACUGUCAAACAUUCAAUGGAUAAUGAGGUUUAUGUAUUUACAGGGAAAAAAAAAAAGCCCAAACCAAAACAACUGAUGGCUCAUGCCUUUUUAAUCCCAGCACUACUGAGAGAGACCCUGUCUCAAUUUGCAUGUGCACACAUACCCACCCCAUAUUUAUUGAGUGAAUGUUGUUACUUCUCCUGACUUUCCUGGAAUAUCCAGCAAACAUACCAGCAUCCUAAAGUCACCAGGAUAAAUCCUCCUACUCCAACAUCACAGGAUCUUCUAAUUCUGCCUAUCAAAAACAAGCAUGGUCGGCAUAAGUUAUAUUCUGUGUGGGAAACCCAUAGUGGACAUGUUUUAAUUUAAAAAAAAUACACUCACUGGUCACCAAGAAAUGUCCAAGUCCAGUCACAAUAGAUCCUAGUGAGCCAUACAGUAUAGAUUCUCGAGCGCAUGGAGUGUUCUCAACAUCUAAAAUACCUAGGAGCUUGAAGGGCUAGGAUAAAAUGAACAAGAAAAUAGUUCAUGGCAACAUGGAUCCCCACUCCAUUUUUAAUUAACACUAAACUUUACCAGUCAGCUAACUUGUGUGUUGAAUCUGCCACUUUGGGAUUUAUUUACUCCAGCAUUUGAAUCUAGUGAACAUAGUAAUUAACCUCUAGCAUGAAGUGACCAGUCUUCCAAGGACAUGUCACUCAGCCAGUCAUAGAUGGGGGUCAAAACAGACUUUAUUUCAUUCUGUUCAUGUGAGUCUUAGACAUCUGGUGGUUUUGAGUGUAAUGUAAUCCCAGCAAUCAGGAAACCACAGCAAGAAGAUUGCUGUGAAUUGGAGGUCAGACUGACUGAGCUCUGAAAGUCUGAGAAGCAAGACUACACACAACUGUGUAACAACAUGUGUGAAAAGAAGCCAUCCUCUAUUGGAUCCCAGCCCUGGAAAACAAAUGUUUUCUACAGUGCCACUCAGUACAGCUAGAGGAUUAUUGCAUAAGAAAUGGAACCUAUACUGGUGGGGAAUGGAGUAAAAGACUUCAGAUCCUGUUAAAGAUAGGGUAGAACUGCACUUCCCUUAGCUCAAGAAUCUGCUUGAAGAUAACAUGUAACUUGGUUUUCAUUAAAGUACAAUUCUUUCCCAGAUGACUUGUUUUUCUUGUUUAUAUCACACACCCUGCUUUUGGAUGGCUCAAUACAACAGGACACAUUGUGUGCUGUUGGUUUUUCACAUAAAUAAGCUACAGGUCUACUGGGGAACUCCCUGGAGGCAUGGGGACCCUCUCUGGAAAUGACUUGCUAUGGCCUAUUAGCAUCUAGUCCAUGAUGAACUAUGGACACAUUCUGCCACAAGACGGGAUGCCAAAGGGAUUUCUGAUGUUAAUGAAAGCAGUCUGUACCACCUAUAUUCUUGCCUAGUUCAGACAGCUAUAAAUCUUUCCUUGUGAAUGGCAAAUGAUUACACCUUUCUCCUUGGAUGUUUCCAAAGCAGUCUGUGCUGGCUAUCUGAGUGCCUGGGUUAUAUCCAAUCAUGCAUGGUGGCUCUGACUGCAGUUCCAGAGAACACCAGGACACAAAUGUUUAAGAGUACAAAACAAGGAUGGAACUUUGUGAUCCUAUUGCAAAAGGAGACCUGGCUGGCAUUAAACCUUUCGAGCCUCCAGUGGCAAGUUCCCCAUCAAUGUUCCCAGAGCCUGUUCUGUAUUUAACCAGUCUUCCCUCCUAAAGGACUGCUAUUUCAUUUGAAAGGAUUAAGUUCUGUAAGUUAUCUGUGUAGGUCCCUGGCUUGGGCAGGUCUGUCACAAGGGUUUCAAGAAGGAAAGUGGUAAGCACCUUUACCCUCUGAUCCAGCUUCUACAUUGUUUUUGCAAACUACCACUUUUCUGUUCCCUUUUAUGGAAAGACUACUGAUAUUACCUAGAUGCCCCUCCUUUUACUUAAAGGUUAAUUUAGUGCCUACAUGCUCAUGGCCACUAUUUAGGUCAUUAUGCUUAGAUUCCAUCUCACUGGGAAUCUCAGCAAUUGUUUGGUAUAGUUUACAGUAAAUGUCUCUUGGCUUGCUAAUCCACUGGCCUGGGGAUUUGGCAGCAAUGUUCCAGUAGCAGUGUCCCUCCUUUAAUGGAUUUAGUUUUGCCUUGUGGCUUGCUAUUCCAACUGAAUACCAUUUAUUCGACUCCCCAUUGGUGAGAUUUAAAUUGUAUUCAUAUGCUUAUUUACUCAUUUUGUAAAUUAAAAGUAUUUUCAAAUCGUU
rnacentral:lncRNA from 1 species